rnacentral:rRNA from 1 species
AUACGGAGGGUGCAAGCGUUAUUCGGAAUCACUGGGCGUAAAGGACGCGUAGGCGGGUUGGCAAGUCAGAUGUGAAAUCCUACAGCUUAACUGUAGAACUGCAUUUGAAACUGCUAACCUAGAGUAUGGGAGGGGGAGAUGGAAUUAGUGGUGUAGGGGUAAAAUCCGUAGAUAUCACUAGGAAUACCGAAAGCGAAGGCGAUCUCCUGGAACAUAACUGACACUAAGGCGUGAAAGCGUGGGGAGCAAACAGGAUUAGAAACCCUAGUAGUCC